GGAAGCAUGCCAAAUCUCAAUGAUAAAUUUCAUUUCCUUUUCAUUACUAGGCAUUCAAAGGGAUUGAUACGCAAGUUGGGUACCAAAAGAUAAACAUUAAAUAAUUAACUUUCUACCAAUGUAUUUAAAAGGAUAGAACUUCCAAGUGAAUUUACAACUUCCAAUUGCCCUGCACUAGCUCUGUAGUGUCCAUUGAAGAUUGAUGGCUUAAACUUCUAUUUGGCGUAAUUUAUCAUUGAGAUUUGGCAUGCUUCCUUCCCACAACUCUGCUAGUUCCCUCCUAACCCAGGAGAUGACAACCACAGGUCCCAGCGUGGAAGGCACCAGAUAAAGAAGUGCAGGUUGGGGGGACUGAGUCAAAACACCAGAUGCCAAUGCGGUUACUAAUCCAAUGGCAUAUCCAGGAAGGGCAUACCAUAAAUAUUUGUGUCCCUUUGAUGAAUGCAAAUCUAAGAGACUUAUAGGAUCUCUACUCUUUCGAUGAUCAAAACAAAGGACUAAUGCCAGAAGCAUGGCAGGAAUAGCCAUGUCUCCAAGGCCAAGCAU
rnacentral:misc_RNA from 1 species